UUUAUGUGGCAAUUUUGUACAAUGAUAAAAUUUGCAAUUCAUCGGUCCGUUUCUGACUCAAACAGACUGUAGCUAUUCUCUUUGAAAUGUUGAACAUUAACAUUGUAAUAUUUAUGGUCAAAAAGUUCAUUGUGAUUUGAUGUAAAUAUGUGUAUUGUGUCAUUGCUGUAUCGUUUCAUCCCCACCACUUGACACGACAGGUUACCCUGUAUAUUGACAUGGCAGUAAAUAAAUGACUGUGUUACACACUGAACAAGGUUGCACACAUUGUAUGUACCUUGUCUAGACCUAGUCUGGCAGCACGCCAAGGACCACAGUACAACUCACGGUUCCAGAUCACAUACUUGCUAGUAUAUUCCUCUCAUGUGUAGAAACUUUUAACAUAUUUACAAGUACUGAUGGCUUUUUUCCAUGAUGUGAUAUUGUAUAUUGUAUUACAUUUAUGAUAAUAUUGGUUAUAAAAUGUUAUGCUUUUGAUAUAUGAGUGUGUGUGUGUGUGUGCGUGUGUGCGUCGCGUGCGUGUGCGUGCGUGGCGUGCGUGCGUGUGUGCGUUCGCCAAAGGUGUCGGGAGAUGGUGAAGGGGCUGAUCUCAACCCAUUGUCAUAAGGUGUUCUGUCUUCGGGGUAUCCUCCCAAAACCUCAACAUGCCAAAACCCUCACUAUUGAUUUGUUACUUCAGUGAUUAAUGUUUUUGUUGUAUUUUUCUAAAUCUUAGAAUCGUAACCAUGGUUUGUUUUUACUAGAUAUAUAUAAGACACAUAUCCAAUGUCACAACACUGUUCCGACCUCUGAAUGUCUUUUCAUGUAAGUUACCUUCCCUGCUUGAAUCCCAUCUCUUGGGCUGUUCCAUUACAUCAGUAGGGGAAAUCCCAUCUCUUGGGCUGUUCCAUUACAUCAGUCAGCAAAAUCCCAUCUCUUGGGCUGUUCCAUUACAUCAGUAGGGUAAAAUUCCUUCUCUGGGCUGUACCAAUACAUCAGUCAGCAAAAUCCCAUCUCUUGGGCUGUUCCAUUACAUCAGUAGGGGAAAUCCCAUCUCUUGGGCUGUUCCAUUACAUCAGUCAGCAAAAUCCCAUUUCAUGGUUGUUCUAUUAUAUCAGUAGGUAAAAUUCCUUCUCUGGGCUGUACCAUUACAUCAGUGGGUAAAAUUCCUUCUCUGGGCUGUACCAAUACAUCAGUAGGUAAAAUUCCUUCUCUGGGCUGUACCAUUACAUCAGUAGGUAAAAUUCCUUCUCUGGGCUGUACCAAUACAUCAGUAGGUAAAAUUCCUUCUCUGGGCUGUACCAAUACAUCAGUAGGUAAAAUUCCUUCUCUGGGCUGUACCAAUACAUCAGUAGGUAAAAUUCCUUCUCUGGGCUGUACCAUUACAUCAGUAGGUAAAAUUCCUUCUCUGGGCUGUACCAAUACAUCAGUAGGUAAAAUUCCUUCUCUGGGCUGUACCAUUACAUCAGUAGGUAAAAUUCUUCUCUGGGCUGUACCAAUACAUCAGUAGGUAAAAUUCCUUCUCUUGGGCUGUAACCAAUACAUCAGUGGGUAAAAUUCCUUCUCUGGGCUGUACCAAUACAUCAGUAGGUAAAAUUCCUUCUCUGGGCUGUACCAUUACAUCAGUGGGGAAAUCUUCUCUGGGCUGUACCAAUACAUCAGUAGGGAAAAUCCCUUCUCUGGGGCUGUACCAAUACAUCAGUAGGGGAAAUCCCUUCUCUGGGCUGUACCAUUACAUCAGUAGGUAAAAUUCCUUCUCUGGGCUGUACCAAUACAUCAGUAGGGAAAAUUCCUUCUCUGGGCUGUACCAAUACAUCAGUAGGGGAAAUUCCUUCUCUGGGGCUGUACCAUUACAUCAGUAGGGGAAAUCCUUCUCUUGGGCUGUACCAAUACAUCAGUAGGGGAAAUUCCUUCUCUGGGGCUGUACCAAUACAUCAGUAGGUAAAUUCCUUCUCUGGGCUGUACCAAUACAUCAGUAGGUAAAUUCCUUCUCUGGGCUGUACCAUUACAUCAGUAGGUAAAUUCCUUCUCUGGGCUGUACCAAUACAUCAGUAGGGGAAAUCCCUUCUCUGGGCUGUACCAAUACAUCAGUAGGGGAAAUUCUUUCUCUGGGGCUGUACCAAUACAUCAGUAGGGAAAAUCCCUUCUCUGGGGCUGUACCAAUACAUCAGCAGGUAAAAGUCUUUCUCUGGGCUGUACCAAUACAUGGUGGGGGACCCAGAAAUGGGCUUCACACAUUGUACCCGUGUGAGGAAUCAAACUUUGGCCUUCAGUGUGACAAGCAAAGGCUUCAACCACUAGGCUUUCUCUUGGGUUGUAGGGAAGAUUCCCUUUUGGAUAUGUAACAAUGUGUACAAAUUGUUAUCCCUUCUCUUAGGCUGUACCAAUACAUCAGCAGGGACAAUCUCUUUGUUGUUUUAAUUAGUGUAAGUUUGGGCAUGUACAACUUUUGGGAGACAUCUGGUGCUUCUUGACCAGGGGAUGACCAAGUGCAAUUUGUGAUGUUGAAUUACACAUGGAAUCUAUUCUACAGUAUUACAUGGUAUUGCAUGUCGAUAGUAAACUGUUAACUCACUCCCUUCAACAUGUACAAAUGUGAAGAAUGUCACUUUCUUGACUCUUUGCAUAAACCUAUAUAGACAGUAAAUUUUGUUUACUAUGAUAAUUUUAUGCUGUAUAUCAACAUGAUUUAGUUGAAAUGUAUUUUUGCCAUUUUGUCAGAAAGUAAGGUAGUGUUUUUAGUAGUACCUUGUCCUACCAGGUUGAGGGGUGGUGGGGUAACCUAGUGGUUAAAGCGUUCGGUCUCGUCACGCCGAAGACCCGGGUUCGAUUCCCUACAUGGGUACAAUAUGUGAAGCCCAUUUCUGGUGUCCCCCGCCGUGAUAUUUAUGGAAUAUUGCUAAAAGCGACGUAAAACUAAACUCACUCACUCACUCACUCCUACCAGGGUGGUGAUAAGAUUACAGCUUGCGGGAAAAAAUAUUUACUUUCACAGUCAGUCUUUUAUGUACUACAUCAGCAGCUAGGUACUGUGUACAGGGUUAAGACAUCAGCCUCUGUGUGUGGUGCAGGUAUAUUUAAUAUCAUAGUGUAUCAGCAGAGUUGUGUUUUCUACAUCAUGGUGUUCGUGAGCCUUGUAAACUACUUUGUGCCAUUGUUUUAUAUUUACACACUUGCCGAUGUGAUAGCCAUUUUGAUGUAAUAUUGUUACUUUUUUUUCCAAUGUUUGUUUCAAAUUGUGAUAGAUUUCGUCACUGUUCAAGUGAAAGUUCUGUCUGUGUUUUUCUUAGCUGUGUUGAGUGUGCGAAAUAGUUUCCAAAUUUUGCUACCCAGUCAAGCCAGCUAUGCCUGAAAGUUACUAACAAACAAGAUGAUUCACUAGACCGAAAUUUGAAUGUAGAAACCAAACAAAAGAUUACAGAAAUAGAUGAAAAUAAGAUAUUGUCAGCAUGACAUGGGUUUCAUCAUUAAGCUGCUAAUAUGAACAUUUUUAUCAGGUCAUAAUCUUGCAUGAUGUUAUAGUGUAUAAAACCUUACCAAGUCAGAGAGAGUGAUAUAUUUACAAAAUGACCACAUGAAAAUUCACUAGCCAGUCAGGCCAGUGACUGUGGAGAUUUAAUGGUCCGACUGGAUUUUUACUAGCCACGGGCCAGUGGUUAUUUAGCACACUGGCUGUGUUACAUGGUACCCUCUGUGGAGAACUGUUGUUAUAGAGGCAGCUGGAGACUACACUACGCCUACCCAUCUUAGUUCCAGCACAUAGUGGGGCGUUGGGGUAGCCUAGUGGUUAAAGUGUUUUUAGAAAGAAAGCAAGAAAACUUCAGUUUAAGGAAAUUUUUCCAUAUUGUAUUAACAUAUUUAUGACAUACCUUUUACAUUGAUGGAAUCGUAAAUACCUUAACUACUAAAUUCCCCAAAUCCUGACUUGUGGCCUUGCUUGCAGGUGGUAACUAUUUUGCUAUAUUACAUGAAGCAUGAGCAGCUGUUGUGUAUUUGUAUUGUAAGUAAGUAUUUCUCAACCUGACAAUGAGAUGACAAUUUCACCAUUUACAGCUUCCGUUUUGUAGGUUCUCAUGUUUCGUGUGUUAAAAACAGUAUUUCAUGUCAGUGUAGAAAGGGAUCAAGGAUCUAUGAUGGGAAGUUGUCAUACAAGCACCCCCGGUAUUGUCUGGGUGGAGAAAUGGUAGGUGGGAAAUGACUGGAACUCCUUGUCUAAGUUUUAAGUUUAAUGCAAUUGUUUAGUAUAGAAUAAAUGAAAUACUGACCUAAAUAGCAUCCCUGUCCGUCAUUGUAGUUGUGAUUUUUGUUAUAUGCUGUAGAUAUGUGAUUGUUUGUGAUGAUAUUGUGAAUGCUUUGUCUUUCAUUUUGUGUCAUGUCACGCAUGACAAUGUUGUACAUGCCUUGUAUGUUGUCGUUUUUCAUAGAUAAUUUAUAACUGUUUGAUGUAUAAAGUUUUACCUUGUAAGGAAUGGCUUAAGGCUGUCCUAAAUAGUGUCACAAAUUACAGAAUUUUUUUUACAAAUUAUUAUCUACCAUUAAGCUUUUGCUAUACAAUAUACUCAUCAUCAGGUAGGCAAACACAGCUUGUUGAUACAGCUGGUGCUACAACUAGUCCACACCUUUGUCUUGGUAUCAGAAGGAGUUUUAACAUAGUAUGAUAAUGAUAAUACUAAUAGUUCAUUUAUACAGCGCAAGGAUCCACCUGACUAGUUGCUCACUGGAUGCUGUAAUCAGAAUCUGAUUAUUAUAACCCCGGAUAACCCAAGCUGCCUGUAAGGCGCUAGAGGGUUAUAGUCACAUG
rnacentral:lncRNA from 1 species